GUUACUCUUAAAUAAUAGGGUAAAGCAAUUUUAUUGCGGAAGCUUAAUAAAUUAAGGUUUUAAACUUGCUUAGAGCGAUUUAAAAUCGGUGGAAUAUUUUUAUUCCCCACCAAAACCCCACCAAGAAUCAUUUCUUGGUGGGGUUUUUUU
rfam:Streptococcus henryi strain A-4 genome assembly, contig: IE83DRAFT_scaffold00002.2